AACGAACGCUGGCGGCAUGCCUAACACAUGCAAGUCGAACGAGACCUUCGGGUCUAGUGGCGCACGGGUGCGUAACGCGUGGGAACCUGCCCUUAGGUUCGGAAUAACUCCCCGAAAGGGGUGCUAAUACCGGAUAAUGUCUUCGGACCAAAGAUUUAUCGCCUUUGGAUGGGCCCGCGUUGGAUUAGCUAGUUGGUAGGGUAAAAGCCAACCAAGGCGACGAUCCAUAGCUGGUCUGGGAGGAUGAUCAGCCGCACUUGGAAUGAGGCACGGCCCAGACUCCUACGGGAAGGAGCAGAAGGGAAUAUUGGGGGAUGGGGGCAAGCCUGGUACAGCCAUGCCGGGGGAGUGAUGAAGGGCUUAGGGUUGUAAAGCUCUUUUACCCGGGAUGAUAAUGACAGUACCGGGAGAAUAAGCGCCGGCUAACUCCGUG
rnacentral:rRNA from 1 species